CGUUUUUUCGAGGAUGAACCUUUAGAGUCGUCCAAUAGAAAAUUUUUCUAUCCCUCUAAAAUCGAAUGAAAAACU